CAAAAACUCCUAAACGUUGGUAUUUAUAGAUGGAGCAGAAUUUCAAAAUUAGGAAUUCAAAACUGCCUGCUUGAAUCCGAACAUUGGGGAUUCAUUCUUCACCUGACUUGGUCAGAGAGAGAUGUUAAAAGAAUAGAUUUGCACCAAAAUGGUGCAACCAAAUUUUUACGGUAAUGGAGGAUAUCGGGGUUUGUUAAAGAAGGAAAAGGGAAAGGAAUAGUGAGGAGCGAGUGUUAUGAGGAGAUACGGCUUCUUCCAUUUUGGGCUCGG
rnacentral:lncRNA from 1 species